rnacentral:rRNA from 1 species
CACGUAGGGCGCAAGCGUUGUCCGGAAUUAUUGGGCGUAAAGAGCUCGUAGGCGGUCUGUUACGUCUGCUGUGAAAACCCGGGGCUUAACCCCUGGGCUUGCAGUGGAUACGGGCAGACUAGAGGCAGGUAGGGGAGAAUGGAAUUCCCGGUGUAGCGGUGAAAUGCGCAGAUAUCGGGAGGAACACCGGUGGCGAAGGCGGUUCUCUGGGCCUGACCUGACGCUGAG